CAAGAAAAGGUCAGGAUAGCUCAGUUGGUAGAGCAGAGGACUGAAAAUCCUCGUGU
rnacentral:tRNA from 1 species